ensembl:snRNA U6 U6 spliceosomal RNA
GAGCUCGCUUCUCAGCACAUAGACUGAAUUUGGAUCGAUACACAGAAGAUGCGCAUGGCCCCUGUGCAAGGCUCACCUGCGAAUUCAUGAAGCAUUUCACAUUUUA